rnacentral:rRNA from 1 species
GACGAACGCUGGCGGCGUGCUUAACACAUGCAAGUCGAACGGUGAAGGGGCCUGCUUUUGUGGGCCCUGGAUGAGUGGCGAACGGGUGAGUAACACGUGAGUAACCUGCCCCCUUCUUCUGGAUAACCGCAUGAAAGUGUGGCUAAUACGGGAUAUUCUGGGUCUGUCGCAUGAUGGGUCUGGGAAAGAUUGCGCCUUUGGGUGUUUUUGGUGGGGGAUGGGCUCGCGGCCUAUCAGCUUGUUGGUGGGGUGAUGGCCUACCAAGGCGGUGACGGGUAGCCGGCCUGAGAGGGUGGACGGUCACACUGGGACUGAGACACGGCCCAGACUCCUACGGGAGGCAGCAGUGGGGAAUAUUGCACAAUGGGCGCAAGCCUGAUGCAGCGACGCCGCGUGAGGGAUGGAGGCCUUCGGGUUGUAAACCUCUUUCGCCAGUGAAGCAGGCCUGCUCCUUGUGGGUGGGUUGACGGUAGCUGGAUAAGAAGCGCCGGCUAACUACG